CAGAUUUGGACUGCAGACGGCUGAACAUCAGUGGACUAACUGCACCUCCUCAUGAAAUGAGAUGUCUGCAGUGCUCCUGCCCCCAGCAUCACCGAGACCAAAGUUAAUGUUGCAUUCAGAUGCCUCCCUGAUUGAACUGCAUGAUGGGUAAGUACCUGUCUGUACUUCUCAGCAUUGAGGAGACCUUUCAUUCUGACCAAAUCCCCAACACCAAAACUGCAGGACCCUCCACCAUGCUUCAUGCUGCCUGCCGACACUUAUUGUUCUUCUGCUCUCCAGCCCUUCAGAGAACAAUCUGCCUUCUGCUGCUGAGUUUCUUUUUCUCCUAUAAAAUCCCUGACUUUGUGCAAGUGUACCUUGAAGAACUGAUGCUUUUUGAAGGAGAAAAGUGUGUGACCCUGCCACCAGACAUUGAUUUGAUUUUUCAUAUGUGACUUUGCAUUUCUUUAAUUGAUAAAUAUAAUCUCUUAACAUGA